CCGGCAUUGAGACAACGCCCAGGUCCCCCCUCCAGAUGGGGACUUGCCUCUUGUCACCAUGUCGCCUCCUCAUUCCUUGGACUGUUUGCCAGAAAGUCUUCUACACUUCCAUUUAGAUCAGUUUUGGAGGGACAGCAGGUGGAUUCUUAACCACUGGACCACUAGGAAGACCUACGUAUCUUUCUAAAAUGAAGUAUUGAAGAAAAAAAGCCAAGUAAUAAUGCUGCAGAUUGCACUAAAUUUUCCUUCU
ensembl:lncRNA